UACGUAGGGGGCAAGCGUUGUCCGGAUUUAUUGGGCGUAAAGAGCGUGUAGGCGGCUUUACAGGUCCGUUGUGAAAACUCGAGGCUCAACCUCGAGACGCCGGUGGAAACCGUAAAGCUAGAGUCCGGAAGAGGAGAGUGGAAUUCCUGGUGUAGCGGUGAAAUGCGCAGAUAUCAGGAAGAACACCCGUGGCGAAGGCGGCUCUCUGGGACGGUACUGACGCUGAGACGCGAAAGCGUGGGGAGCGAUCCGG
rnacentral:rRNA from 1 species